UGAUAUUCUAGCGGCGGACGGGUGAGUAACGCGUGAACAAUCUGUCCCAGACAGGGGGAUAACACUUGGAAACAGGUGCUAAUACCGCAUAAGACCACGAUCUCGCAUGGGAUUGAGGUAAAAGGAGCGAUCCGGUUUGGGGUGAGUUCGCGUCCGAUUAGCUAGUUGGUGAGGUAACGGCCCACCAAGGCGACGAUCGGUAGCCGACCUGAGAGGGUGAUCGGCCACAUUGGAACUGAGACACGGUCCAAACUCCUACGGGAGGCAGCAGUGGGGAAUAUUGGGCAAUGGGCGAAAGCCUGACCCAGCAACGCCGCGUGAGGGAAGAAGGUUCUCGGAUUGUAAACCUCUGUCCUUGGUGACGAAGGAAGUGACGGUAGCCAAGGAGGAAGCCCCGGCUAACUACGUGCCAGCAGCCGCGGUAAUACGUAGGGGGCAAGCGUUGUCCGGAAUGACUGGGCGUAAAGGGCGUGUAGGCGGCCUGAUAAGUAUGAAGUGAAAGUCCUGCUUUCAAGGUGGGAAUUGCUUUGUAGACUGUCGGGCUUGAGUGCGGAAGAGGUAAGUGGAAUUCCCAGUGUAGCGGUGAAAUGCGUAGAGAUUGGGAGGAACACCAGUGGCGAAGGCGACUUACUGGGCCGUAACUGACGCUGAGGCGCGAAAGCGUGGGGAGCGAACAGGAUUAGAUACCCUGGUAGUCCACGCUGUAAACGAUGAUGACUAGGUGUGGGGGGACUGACCCCUUCCGUGCCGCAGCUAACGCAAUAAGUCAUCCACCUGGGGAGUACGGCCGCAAGGUUGAAACUCAAAGGAAUUGACGGGGGCCCGCACAAGCAGUGGAUUAUGUGGUUUAAUUCGACGCAACGCGAAGAACCUUACCAGGAUUUGACAUCCAACUAACGAAGUAGAGAUACAUUAGGUGCCCUUCGGGGAAAGUUGAGACAGGUGGUGCAUGGUUGUCGUCAGCUCGUGUCGUGAGAUGUUGGGUUAAGUCCCGCAACGAGCGCAACCCCUAUUGUUAGUUGCUACGCAAGAGCACUCUAGCGAGACUGCCGUUGACAAAACGGAGGAAGGCGGGGACGACGUCAAAUCAUCAUGCCCCUUAUGUCCUGGGCUACACACGUAAUACAAUGGCCGUCAACAAAGGGAAGCAAAGCCGCGAGGUGGAGCAAAUCCCCAAAAACGGUCUCAGUUCGGAUUGCAGGCUGCAACUCGCCUGCAUGAAGCUGGAAUUGCUAGUAAUCGUGGAUCAGCAAGCCACGGUGAAUACGUUCCCGGGCCUUG
rnacentral:rRNA from 1 species